rnacentral:rRNA from 1 species
GACAGAGGGGGCAAGCGUUGCUCGGAAUCACUGGGCGUAAAGGGCGUGUAGGCGGGAGCGUGAGUCGGUCGUGAAAGCCUUCGGCUCAACCGAAGAAGGGCGGCCGAUACUGCGUUCCUUGAGGGGUGGAGAGGAGACUGGAAUUCCCGGUGUAGCGGUGAAAUGCGUAGAUAUCUGGAGGAACACCGGUGGCGAAGGCGACGUCCUGGACCGGCAUUGACGCUGAGGCGCGAAAGCCAGGGGAGCAAAGCGGG